rnacentral:tRNA from 1 species
GCCGAGGUGCUGAAAUUGGUAUACAGGCUACGUUGAGGACGUAGUGCCCUUUAGGGCGUGCAGGUUCAAGUCCUGUCCUCGGCA